rnacentral:rRNA from 1 species
GGGGGCAACCCUGAUCCAGCAAUGCCAUGUGUGUGAAGAAGGCCCUAGGGUUGUAAAGCACUUUAGUUGGGGAGGAAAGCCUCAAGGUUAAUAGCCUUGGGGGAGGACGUUACCCAAAGAAUAAGCACCGGCUAACUCCGUGCCAGCAGCCGCGGUAAUACGGGGGGUGCAAGCGUUAAUCGGAAUUACUGGGCGUAAAGGGUCUGUAGGUGGUUUGUUAAGUCAGAUGUGAAAGCCCAGGGCUCA